rnacentral:tRNA from 1 species
UGUAGCUUAAUUAGUGAAGUACGUGCCUGGCAUGCAUGAAGCUCUGGGUUCGAUACCCUGCA